CACGGACGAGGAAAGGAGAGGAGGACAAGCAGUCCCUGACGCCAAGUACUCCUCAGGGUCCCAACACAAGGACAAGAAGCGGCGACCACAUCUUCUUCCAUUCAGCCCAAGGACAAGCAGCAGCAGCGACCACAGCAGAUGCAGCCAUGCAGGGGAGGACGAUGACGCUAAACAGCAAUAGCAGCUCAAGGCGGUGGUGCUGAUUAGAUUUGAUCCUCAAGGACACCCAUGGGUCUUGCUGCAUGUGGUGGGUUUUGGAGAACCAACUUGAGAUGUAGGAGGUGGGUUCUUGAGCUGUGCUCUGCUCGAGCAGGAGGGGUUUGCUCCUUUUCUCCUAGGGCGACCAAGAGGUCUUGCCCUGAGCUGAAGCACGUCCAUGCCAACCCACCACGACAGCAGGUGCCGUCCUUCCAUGGACGAGGAGGACAACGACCUGAACCUCGACGGUGAUGUUGUCAACCCCUCACAAGGUCGCUCGCACCCAAUAAGCAUUUUUUCAAGUUACCGCUGCUCUGUUUUUGUAAUCCGCUCGUUGUUCAGUAAACUAGCUACUAGCGUUUGUGAACACAGCCUCCUUGUUCACCAAAUGAAGAAUCCUCCCAAGAAUUUGACCAUUUUCAUUUGUAAAAAAUGAAUGGCUGCUACUGUUUCUAGUUUUAGGUUGGGAUGAGAUGUGUGUUUGCAUGCUUGUGCUUAUGUGGUUGAUGAUCACAUAUGUAUUAGUGUUGCUGGUGUUGGUCAUGAAGUUUCUGUUAUGUAUGUUGAA